GCUAGUUGGUGAGGUAAAGGCUUACCAAGGCGACGAUCUGUAGCGGGUCUGAGAGGAUGAUCCGCCACACUGGAACUGAGACACGGUCCAGACUCCUACGGGAGGCAGCAGUGGGGAAUUUUGGACAAUGGGGGCAACCCUGAUCCAGCCAUGCCGCGUGAGUGAAGAAGGCCUUCGGGUUGUAAAGCUCUUUCGGCCGGGAAGAAAUCGCAUGGGCCAAUACCCUGUGUGGAUGACGGUACCGGAAUAAGAAGCACCGGCUAACUACGUGCCAGCAGCCGCGGUAAUACGUAGGGUGCGAGCGUUAAUCGGAAUUACUGGGCGUAAAGCGUGCGCAGGCGGUUUUGUAAGACAGGCGUGAAAUCCCCGGGCUUAACCUGGGAACUGCGUUUGUGACUGCAAGGCUAGAGUACGGCAGAGGGGGGUGGAAUUCCACGUGUAGCAGUGAAAUGCGUAGAGAUGUGGAGGAACACCAAUGGCGAAGGCAGCCCCCUGGGUCGAUACUGACGCUCAUGCACGAAAGCGUGGGUAGCAAACAGGAUUAGAUACCCUGGUAGUCCACGCCCUAAACUAUGUCAACUAGGUGUUGGGUGGGUAAAACCAUUUAGUACCGUAGCUAACGCGUGAAGUUGACCGCCUGGGGAGUACGGCCGCAAGGUUAAAACUCAAAGGAAUUGACGGGGACCCGCACAAGCGGUGGAUGAUGUGGAUUAAUUCGAUGCAACGCGAAAAACCUUACCUACCCUUGACAUGCCAGGAACUUGCCAGAGAUGGCUUGGUGCCCGAAAGGGAGCCUGGACACAGGUGCUGCAUGGCUGUCGUCAGCUCGUGUCGUGAGAUGUUGGGUUAAGUCCCGCAACGAGCGCAACCCUUGUCGUUAAUUGCCAUCAUUUGGUUGGGCACUUUAACGAGACUGCCGGUGAUAAACCGGAGGAAGGUGGGGAUGACGUCAAGUCCUCAUGGCCCUUAUGGGUAGGGCUUCACACGUCAUACAAUGGUCGGUACAAAGGGUUGCCAAGCCGCGAGGCGGAGCCAAUCCCAGAAAGCCGAUCGUAGUCCGGAUUGCAGGCUGCAACUCGCCUGCAUGAAGUCGGAAUCGCUAGUAAUCGUGGAUCAGCAUGUCACGGUGAAUACGUUCCCGGGUCUUGUACACACCGCCCGUCACACCAUGGGAGCGGGUUCCGCCAGAAGUAGGUAGCCUAACCGCAAGGGGGGCGCUUACCACGGCGGGGUUCGUGACUGGGGUGAAGUCGGAACAAGGUAGCCGUAGGGGAACCUGCGGCCG
rnacentral:rRNA from 1 species